rfam:Vibrio angustum S14 1099604003201, whole genome shotgun sequence.
UCAUAUUCAUCAUCAUCCUGACUAGUCUUUCGGGAGGAUACGCCUCACCCUGGAAGACAACAUUAUCUUCCAGUGGUCACAAGGAAUAAUCAAAUUCAGACCCUCGGAAGAUACAAGCUUCCGAGGGUUUUUUAAU